rnacentral:tRNA from 1 species
UCCUGGGUAGCUCAGCUGGUAAAGAAUCUGCCUGCAGUGCAGAAUACCCCAGUUCAAUUCCUGGGUCAGGAA